UACGUAGGGGGCAAGCGUUGUCCGGAUUUAUUGGGCGUAAAGAGCGUGUAGGCGGCUUUGCAAGUCCGUUGUGAAAACUCGAGGCUCAACCUCGAGACGCCGGUGGAAACUGCAAAGCUAGAGUCCGGAAGAGGAGAGUGGAAUUCCUGGUGUAGCGGUGAAAUGCGCAGAUAUCUGGAGGAAUACCGGUGGCGAAGGCGGCAUCCUGGACCGACAUUGACGCUGAGGAGCGAAAGCUAGGGGAGCAAACGGG
rnacentral:rRNA from 1 species